rnacentral:rRNA from 1 species
UACGUAGGGUGCGAGCGUUAAUCGGAAUUACUGGGCGUAAAGCGUGCGCAGGCGGUGAUGUAAGACCGAUGUGAAAUCCCCGGGCUUAACCUGGGAACUGCAUUGGUGACUGCAUUGCUGGAGUAUGGCAGAGGGGGGUGGAAUUCCACGUGUAGCAGUGAAAUGCGUAGAGAUGUGGAGGAACACCGAUGGCGAAGGCGGCUCACUGGACCACAACUGACGCUGAUGCGCGAAAGCUAGGGGAGCAAACAGG